UCAUAGGAAGCCAGCAAAAAAAUUAGUUAGUUUCAAUUUCACCUUGAGUGCAGCUGGCGUUACAUUCAUUUGGAGAUAAGGUAUUACAGGCUUGUGCUUCGUAACCGUGGAAGGAACAACAACAGUCCCAACCUAGUGUGAUGGGAGGUAAUGAUACUGAAAUGCCGACAACAAAGCUACAAGUACUAGUCCAUUACACAUGAUGAAGAAACAUUGGCAGAUCUCAACAAUCAACAAGCAUCGGAACCAUCACUGCGCUUUCUUCUUGGCAUCCUUAGCCUGCCCCUUCUUGCGGAUUUUGAUGCACAUGCUGAGGCGCGUACUGUCCACGAGCGACUCUGGGAGGAGGGAAAUCAAGAACCACAAAACAGAGUGUGGCCAGUACGGUGUGCACCUCGGCUCAUAGCCAAUGUGGCGAAUAGCAGCACGAG
rnacentral:lncRNA from 1 species